UACGUAGGGGGCGAGCGUUGUCCGGAUUUAUUGGGCGUAAAGAGCUCGUAGGCGGUUUGGUAAGUCGGGUGUGAAAUCUCCACGCUCAACGUGGAGGGGCCACUCGAUACUGCCAUGACUCGAGUCCGGUAGAGGAGUGUGGAAUUCCCGGUGUAGCGGUGAAAUGCGCAGAUAUCGGGAGGAACACCGGUGGCGAAGGCGGUGGUCUGGGCCGGCACUGACGCUGAGGAGCGAAAGCGUGGGGAGCGAACAGG
rnacentral:rRNA from 1 species